AAACUCCGUGAGUGGCCAUCUCGUCUGGUAUUCCCUGCAUUUGACAAGCUCCUUCCCGUGAGUGGCCAUCACGAUUACAGAAAAACCUAUGAUCAUAUCAGCUCCAGAGUUCAUUCUGAAUCAAUAUGGAUGGAUCUCAUUGAAGCUUUUGAAGUCCAGGGAGGUGAUUUUAGAGUCUCCCAACUAAGGAUUGCAAAGCUAGGGAUGUGAGUUUUUGAAGUAUCUCUUUUUCCUGGAGUUUGUUUAAAGACCUUUAUUCUCCUUGAGUUUGAUCCACAAGUUUCAAAAAUUAUUAAUAAGGUGACUGGACUACAAAAUGGGGAAGAUGCGUAGAUAUUCCAUGCUCCAAUCUAGCAUUUUCAUCAAAAUCUUGUGCAGGUUCGUUAGCUCUUUUCGUUGAUAUGAAGAAUUAUGUUGAAGGAAUUAGAAAGCAGUUCUUUGCAUAAAGCUGCGAAGCUCCGCUCUUUCUGGGGGCGAUUUACCUGCGGCGUCGUCAAAGUUGUUCUAGAAGCAUGCGAUGGGUUCUUAUUGAUAUACAGGACAUUUGAUGGGGCAUAGCAAAAUUCAAUCCUCAAAUCUACUAGAAAUUGAAUUUUGGACCUUGUGAUGAUUGUAAAAAUGUCUAGAGACUUUGGGGAGAGUAGAGAGUGAUAAAGACACUAAAAAUUAUUUAUGUUUUAUGUUUAUUUUCUGGUAUUUCAUGGAUGGUUGAAAUUUUUUUGAUUUUGUAGCGGGCGUUGCAUACCUGAGAAUUUGAACAUGGAUCGGCUCCAGAACUUAAAGAAAAACUAUCGGUUUCACUUAUCCUUAACCUGCAAACAGUUCCAGUUCUUUAUUUGAUGUGUUCUUAUG